rnacentral:lncRNA from 1 species
AUUUAGCUCCUGGACAAACGUUGGUAAAAUCAUUUUGAGAUAGUACCAUCCAGUCUGGAGUCAAAUGCAAUGCAACAAUCAAAUUGAAAUCUCAAUCUAUCAAUUGAUCUUUGAAAUUAUCGAGCAGCAAAAAAUUCAUUUGUAGAGCUUUACACUCAGAGAAUUAUAGAGUUUGAUUUGAAGGAUGCAUUUGAGCGAGAACGAAGGGAUAGAGAACAACACCUUUGUGGUGACUGGCGGGCUGGGUUUCGUGGGUUCGGCCCUCUGCUUAGAGCUCGUUAGAAGAGGCGCUCGUAAGGUUCGAGCCUUUGAUCUUCGCACCGAAUCUCCUUGGUCCAAUGAUCUUCGCCGUCACGGCGUUGAC